GUUCAAACCCUCUCAUAUCC
rnacentral:tRNA from 1 species